AUCCAGCUUUUUCAUUUCCCUUUCACAUCCUCACAUACAUAUACAUACAUAUAUCCUAUUGAGUAGUACGUUCCGUGCAAUUUUGAGUGUGUUGCAAGGGGCCCGAAACCAACAAAAUGAUCACCUAUAUAUUCUAGUACCAUUUGAGUGGUUUACAUUUAUUUACGAAGUGACAGUGGAAUUGAAGGACAGAAGACAGAGAUGAUCGAAGUCCUACAGCUAGAAGUUUGAUUUUGGAGGUAGCCAGCUAGAUUGGAUUACUAACAUGUCAUUUUGUUUGAAUAUUGUAAAUAUUACGAGUACUAUAUAUGGAUCGACUCAACAUCUGUCAAAUGGUCCUUUUGAAACUCGUAUAUAUGAUAGAAACUGAUAGAGUUGUGCUUAAUUUAAAGAGUACGGUUAGUGUAUGUAGUAUGAAGAGACUAUUUAGCAAUGAAUAAAAUAAUGGCAAAAAGAACUGUAGUGGUCAGGACUCAAGAGGUCAAGUGACGUGCACCAUGUUCUCCAUGAAAAACCUUUAAACAGGUAGGCAAGUACGCACCAAGGUCUGUGUACGCCGCACUCUGUGAACAGUAGCCAACAAA